rnacentral:rRNA from 1 species
AAGAUGAUGUAUAGGGGGUGACGCCUGCCCGGUGCUGGAAGAUUAAAUGAUGGGGUGCAAGCUCUUGAUUGAAGUCCCAGUAAACGGCGGCCGUAACAAUAACGGUCCUAAGGUAGCGAAAUUCCUUGUCGGGUAAGUUCCGACCUGCACGAAUGGUGUAAUGAUCUGGACGCUGUCUCAACCAUGAGCUCAGUGAAAUUGUAGUAUCGGUGAAGAUGCCGAUUACCCGCGAUGGGACGAAAAGACCCCGUGAACCUUUACUACAGCUUAGCAUUGACCUUGGUCAUCCGAUGUGUAGGAUAGGCCGGAGGCUUCGAAGCGGGUGCGCCAGCAUUCGUGGAGCCAUCCUUGAAAUACGGCCCUUUGGCUGUCUGAGGUCUAACGCGCCUAUGGUGCGGACACUGCUUGGUGGGUAGUUUGACUGGGGUGGUCGCCUCCAAAAGCGUAACGGAGGCUUCCAAAGGUGCCCUCGGGCCGAUUGGUAACCGGCCUUAUAGAGUGCAAUGGCAUAAGGGCGC